rnacentral:piRNA from 1 species
UAGGAUGGUGAAAUGUGCUGAAUGCUCUAGU